rnacentral:rRNA from 1 species
AGAGUUUGAUCAUGGCUCAGAUUGAACGCUGGCGGCAUGCCUUACACAUGCAAGUCGAACGGCAGCACGGGGGCAACCCUGGUGGCGAGUGGCGAACGGGUGAGUAAUAUAUCGGAACGUGCCCUAGAGUGGGGGGAUAACUAGUCGAAAGAUUAGCUAAUACCGCAUACGAUCUAUGGAUGAAAGUGGGGGAUUCGCAAGAACCUCAUGCUCCUGGAGCGGCCGAUAUCUGAUUAGCUAGUUGGUAGGGUAAAAGCCUACCAAGGCUACGAUCAGUAGCUGGUCUGAGAGGACGACCAGCCACACUGGAACUGAGACACGGUCCAGACUCCUACGGGAGGCAGCAGUGGGGAAUUUUGGACAAUGGGGGCAACCCUGAUCCAGCAAUGCCGCGUGAGUGAAGAAGGCCUUCGGGUUGUAAAGCUCUUUUGUCAGGGAAGAAACGGUGAGAGCUAAUAUCUCUUGCUAAUGACGGUACCUGAAGAAUAAGCACCGGCUAACUACGUGCCAGCAGCCGCGGUAAUACGUAGGGUGCAAGCGUUAAUCGGAAUUACUGGGCGUAAAGCGUGCGCAGGCGGUUGUGCAAGACAGAUGUGAAAUCCCCGGGCUCAACCUGGGAAUUGCAUUUGUGACUGCACGGCUAGAGUGUGUCAGAGGGGGGUAGAAUUCCCGUGUAGCAGUGAAAUGCGUAGAUAUGUGGAGGAAUACCGAUGGCGAAGGCAGCCCCCUGGGAUAACACUGACGCUCAUGCACGAAAGCGUGGGGAGCAAACAGGAUUAGAUACCCUAGUAGUCC